GCCACGACGGGAACUCCUCAAUUUUCUUUUUUUAAAAAUUAUUUUUAUUUUUUCCAUUACAGUUGGUUUACAGUGUUCUGUCAAUUUUCUACUGUACAACAAAAUGACCCAGUCACGCAUACAUAUAUACAUUUUUUUUUUUCUCACAUUGUUGCCAGAAUUUGGCCUCUGUCUGCUGGUGCCAAAUUGAAACAGAGAGACAGAGUUUUGGGUAAAGGAGAAAGAAAAAAUAGCUUUAUUGCUUUGCCAGGCAAAGGAGGGUCACAGCAGGCCAACAACUUAAGGACUAUGCCCCCCCACCCCUCCCCCAGAAAGCAUUUUGGGAAGUUUUAUAGUUAAAAGGAGAAAAACAGGUUUUCAGAUAGGAAUCAGGAACGGGACAAACAUGCGUUCUUCUUUCUUUGGGGGCAUCUUAGUCAUCAAAGCUGGAGUCAGGAGAUGCUCACGAUGGCGGUCUUCUGGGUUAUUGCCUUGAGUAACAGUACUUGCAAAAAAGGCAUAUUGAUCAGAGAUUAGAACAAACUAGGAAAGUUCCUGAAAAACAUCAUGUGCUAGUAAUCUUUAAUAACCCACAGGCAAUUAUGCUCAGGGUGCCUAAUCUUUAGCUUAUGGGUGAGAAACCAUACACGGCCCUGUGGGUCUCCUGCACCCAGGCUGUGCACAGGGCCAUGUCUUGUUUCAACAUUAUCCUCCAUCAUGUUCCAUCAUAAAUGACUAGAUAUAGGUCCCAGCAGGAUCUUAUUGCUUAUUCACUCCAAAUGCAAUAGUUUGCAUCUAUUAACCCCAGAUUCCUAGUCCAUCCCACUCUCUCCCUCUCCCUUAUUCUCAAUUUUCUUAACCUAUUAACUUCUAAGCAUGAUUGAUUGCAUAAUGCAUAGAAAAUUCUGGGUGCUUUGUUUUCUCUCUUCUGUCACUUUAAGUUAUUUCCAUCUGGAGUGGGGCGAACCAUCAGGGAGAGAUCUAACUGGCAGAGAUUCUGGAGCACCUGCCGGAUGCAGGGGACUUGCUGGUGUUCAGAACAGAGGGGAAGUGGAGUUCUGAGGCUGUAUGAGCUCCACAGAAUCAGAGAAAGGGUUAACAGUUUUUCCUGGGUGGCCACACAAUUAAUGUGGAGUUGCCUGCUGUGAGUGACUUGUUAUAUUAUCUUGGAAAUCUAUCCUAAGUGUUUAAGGGAGAUAGCAAAGGCAAUGCAUUUAGUUGAAAACCACCAAUCUUCAACUGUGAACUUCAAUUGUUGAAUCAGUCAACAAGGCUUUAUGGAGGGUUUACGAAGUGCUGGUCAACCCCUGGAUCCUGGGGAACUGCAGGCUGGUUAAGAGGAUGGGGCCAUGGAGUUAGACCACACAGUCUCACUAACUUCCAGCUUGGGACUUAGGCAGUUUAUGUCAUCUCCUCUCCUUUUCCUUGGUGACCACAGAGACCAUGUGGUUUGGAUGGCAGCACCGUAAGGUGGAGGGUUCUGGCUCUGGAGCCACCACAUGGAGAAGAGUUGCUCAGGAGAGCCAGUGACUCAUCUCCUGCUGUGGUGGGAGUGAGGAGAGGCCAUGGAUGUGCUAAACCAUCUCGGUUUUAGGCUUUGUCUGUCAUCACUGCAGAGCCCAAGAAGAAACGAAUGUAUGACAGCCAUCUCUUGUCCCCUGUCCUCUGCCCGCCUGCUGAGGGUUCCUCCUCUAGGUCUUCCCACUGCCCAGACCCCUGCCCACCUUGUACCCUUAGUCCACCUCUGAGGCUAGGAGGGAACUGUUGCCCCACCCUUCCCUCCAUUUCUUACUUCUGUGUGCUUCCUGGGGCUCUCCUCAGACCACAGGUGCCUCUGGAACCCCAGCAGAGACCCCCAGGUCACAAAUGUGAAACUUAGACGACAGAGGUCAGAGUUAGGUGGUGUCAUGGAAGACACCAGUGGACAUACCCCACUCUAGACCUCACAGCCUCUGAAUUGGAAACCAGGCUGUCCUGGCAAAGGCAGCCUUUCCUUCUGUCCUCUAAUAUCAAGAAACGUGGUGGCCUUGCAUGGCAGGGAAGGGGGUUCAUCGGACAGUGACCGUCUCUCCCAACACUUUCCAUUAGAAAAUUGUUCCUCACUGAAUGUGAUGGGAUAGACCGUCAGUCCCCAAGGUGCUCUGCGAGGACGUGGGGGCCAGAUUAGUGGGGCUACAUGGCACGAAGCAUCCCUGUCUUGAGACUGUGCAUGUACGUUAGUGCACCCAGGUUUUGAGAUGUCCUGAGCUUGAUUUAACCCAACUCGUUCGACCCUCAGCACAUCUUCUCCUUUUGUUCACCAGCCCUAGCAGGGACAAAUUUAGAGAAAUGACCAAAUUGAUCGUUUAUCCUUAUUGCACAACCCCUGACUUUUACAGCUUCAGUUGGGGCUAUCCCUUAACAGGAGGUCUACACUGGGUGUUGGGGGCAGUAGAGAAAGUAUCAUUCUUUAAGGUGGAUACUUUAGGUGAUUUUUCAUGGUUUCACACUAUUGUAUCCUAAUGAUGAUUAAUAGGAAGUAAUAUAACUAAAUUUAAUAAAUGCUAGUAAAGUGCAAUUACUUCCCUUUUAAUAGAAGAGGAUCAAGACAUUUCCUUCGAAGGGAAGGGAAGUUUAGUUUUAUGUGCCUAGUUAUGCUUAAAUUUUUAUAAAAAUGUGUUCUGAAAAAAAAAAGGUAUAAAUCAAACUAUUGAAAAAAACAUCUCAGGAAUUCCCAUUGUGGCUCAGCAGGUUACCAACCCAACUAGUAUCCAUGAGGAUGCGGGUUUGAUCCCUGACCUUGCUCAGUGGGUUAAGGAUCCGGUGUUGCCUUGAGCUGUGGUAGGGGUCGCAGACGUGGCUCCGAUCUGGUGUUGCUGUGGUUGUGGUGUAGGCUGGCAGCUGUGGCUCUGAUUUGAUCUCUAGCCUGGGAACUUCCAUAUGCCCUAAAAAGCAAAAAAGCAAAAAAGCAAAAACAAAACAAAACAAAAAAAUCUCAUUUUCUCAUUGACUUAGUAAAGCUUUCAUCUCAGUUGAUACCAAUAUGAGAUUAAAAAAAUUAAUUUAUUUUUUCCAUCUUUUAUCCCCCUGAUGUUUUAACUCAGCUAAUUAUCAGGAGAUUCCUCAAUGCACAAAGAAAUCUAGCAGUGAAUCUUUAAAUAAAUGUUCACUCUCUAUAGAUACCUUUGGUAGAUUUAGGGGCAGAGCUUUCUAUAUUAUAAACAUCUAAUCAAUCAGUAAGUUCUAAAUAAAUAAGUAAAUUUUUUCUUUAGAUUUCCUUAGUGCAGCUUACAUCCAAAUAUGGGGACUAUUUGAGCAAAACCUAAGUUUAUGUCUGCUGUCAGAAAUGUAUUUCUUGGCUGGAACUCAUACUUUUGGAAAAAGUGAGCAUGUGGAUACAUGUUGAAAGUGUGGAUAUAAAGUUUUACUCUGAUUGCUGAAGAAGUUUUCCUGGAAAGCAGUUUCAAGAGAAAAGUGGUGUUACCAUGGUCAGGUUGGAGGAAGAAAAAUGAAAUACACCGAGAUUCUGAAAGGAGCAAAAUGGGAAAGAUGACUGUGUUUCUCUCAAGCAACAGAUCAUGCUGUGAGCUCCCCACUUUAUCCAUUUUGUUCAUUGUGUUAAUUCUACAUCUCACAUCCUCCUCAUGCCCUCUUGCAUUUGCCCAGCUCAGAAGCAUCUGGGCAGGUCUCACUGUCCGUCAAGAGCUCUGCCUUUAAAGUCUUGCCUUUGCAGCCGUGGCCUGCCCCUGAGGUGGCCUUCCUGGCAGCUAUUGAGAAACAUGGCCCUUUUGGGGCACCACCUAUGAGAGCUUUGGGCUGGCUCUAAAGGCCUGCCAUUGACUAGAACACUGGAGAAGAGGGGCAGCUUUGGAGAGAAAGCACGGUUCACUUUGACAUGCUUGGUUUGAAGCUCCUUUUUGACAUCCAGGCAGGGUGAGCCUGGGGCUGGGGGUAAGGAUUCAGCCGUUGUCAGUUACACACUGUGUAGUUGGGAGGAGCUGAGAAGGAGCCCUAAUUUUUAGAGUUAGAAAAGGGAGGAGGAGCCAACCAAGAGUGACUUAAAAGGAAUAGCCAAGAGAGAACCCAAGAAUAGCCAAGGAAGUGCUUCAUAGAGGAGGAAAGGGUGAUCACGUGUCACAUGCAUGAUGGAGCAGCAAGGGUGGAGGUGGGACUCGACCUCAGAUUUCCCAAGGAUUAAGCCAGCUGAUGCCCCUGGAGCAGAGUGGGGGCUAUGAAACAUUCCAUGAUCAUUAUCAUCACAGUAUUGACUAAUAAUUGUAUGGAUCUUCACAUUUUAAUAGCCACUAGUAUAAUAGUGUCACUCACUAUUGAUAAGCCUCAUUAUUCCUAUGAGGGUCUGUGGGCUGUUGGGCAGCUAACUAAAACCUUUAUACCAUUUGAUGGAGCUCCCACAGUGGUGCAGGGGUUGAGAACCUGACUACAGCAGCUCGGGACGCUGUGGAGGAGCAGUUUCAAUCCCUGGCCUGGCACAGUGGGUUAAAGGAUCUGGCAUUACCACAGCUGCGGUGUAGGUGGCAGCUGAGACUCAGAUUCAAUCCCUGGCCCGGGAAUUUACAUCUGCUGCAUGUGCAGAAAUAAAAAAUAAAUACAUAAAACUUUUCUAUGCUUUGAAUAGGAGAGAAGAAAUUUGAUUCCUUCUCUAUCAUGAUUAUUUCCUGUGUCUUGUCACACUCCAGGACCAAUCCGCUCCAAGUGGAACAGCUGGCCCUAAGAAGAACUUGUGUUCAGUCUUGCCAGCAUAUUGUUGUUUGGCUCUUCUAUGUCCAUUUACAUGACUGUGUUGUAUGAGGACAUUUCCAUGCUCCUUUAUGGUUUUGUAAUGAAUGUGGUGAUGAUACAUCAACCUUGAUAAACUGCAAAGUGUACCCGUCUCUUCCCUCUUUUCUUCGGCCACCUGUCCCUGGCUUCAGUUUUGACUCAGAUGAGUGAGGAUGUCUAUGUAGACCUGGCAAGAAAUAUCCAAGUGUCAAUGACAUGUACUACACAAAUAUCCAAGGCCAUGUCUCUUGGAGCAUCUAGGUCCUUUAUUUGGUGAGAAGUUGCUCCUAUACAUCACACCUGCUCCGCACAUCCCUCAGGUAUGGAGAAUGGGCAGCUGGUGGUCAUUUAUUUCCACAUUUUUGGGGUAGCAGGCAGAAUCCUGGUGUGAGGGAUAAUCAAACAUAGCUGCUCUUCCCCUGCUUGUGAAUGCCACCUGUCACCCCAUCUAGCUCUGUCCACUCUCCUCAGUCUCUGGCCACUGCCCUCUGGCUACUGCCCUGCUCAGCAGCAUCUCCACCACUGCAUCAUCAGGACAAAGAAGACAGAUGAACCCAUAUCCCCCUGGAGUCCUGGGUAGCCUGGACUCUUGAAUUUACGCUAGGCUUUAUGAUGAAUUAUAAGCUGGCUGUAGUAGAACUUUGUUAUCUGAGAUUGAGGGACAGAAACAUACACUGGCUGGAGCUCAGGGUUGCAACAAAGAGAAGCUUCAGUUGUUGAUCUGCUUCUGCACAUGAAAUGGACCUCCGAGAUGCCUGGACCGCUCCCUGAACUCGACUCUAUACCCAAAUCCCACCUCCACAUCCCUGCUUGGACGUUGACUAACCAUCUCAAAGCGAAUACAUCCAACACUCAACUCCCGAUUGCCUCCACCUCCAAAGCUCUCUUCCAGCAGUCUCCCCUUUCUCAGUAAAUGACAGCUCCAUCCUCCCAUUGGCUCAGGCCCAAAUCUUGGAGUCAGUUUUGACUCCUUUUUCACUUUUCUCAUUUAUCACAAUAUAUAUCCUGAAUCCAAUCAAUUCUCAAGAUCUCUACUUACCAAUGGGUGUGAGCUACCUUUAUGUCUCACCUGGAAUUGUCAGUGGCUUUCUAUCUCACUUCCCAGCCUCCACCCUGCCCCGCCCCCACCUGCCUACUAUCAGUGCUCACCCUGCCGCCAAGGCAAUCUGUUGAAAUAUGGCAGAUCACCUCCAUUCCCUGCUCAAAACCCCCUGAUGGCUCGCAUCUCAGAGAACAUCCAAGUCCAGUACAGUCUGGCUCCAUUACUCCCCACCUUCAUCUCCUGUUUGCCUCCCUUCACCAACUCUGGCUACACUGGCCUCCCUCUGCUCCUGGAGCGUUUCAGGAGCAGGCCUCAGGGCUUUUGCUCCUGCUGUUCCUUCUUUCCGGAGCCCUCUUCCCCCACAUUCACACCCCUCACACCUUUUCUUUCAAUGCCACCUUCUCAGUAAGGACUUUCCUUACUACCCAGUGAAAAAUGCAGUUCUCUGGCUGGCCCCCUCCCCCCAUCUACACUCCUUCCACCUCCCUGCUUUAUUUUCUCUAUGAUGUACUCACCUGACAAGCUGUAGUAUAGAGUAAAAGGCUUAACAGCACGGACCCUGGAGAUGGACCAGUAUCAUUCUAUUGCUAUUUUUUUCCUAAAAAGCCUUAUUUUGCAGUUAGAAGAGUUUGGAAUAAAAUACAUCAACAUAUAAUACUGUUUUUCUCCAGAUGGUGAGAUAAUGAAUAAUUUUAAUUUUCUUUAUCCUCCCUAUAUUUUCGAAUGAGUUCCUACUUUCAUGAUCAUGAAAAAAGAAUAUCAUUUGUUUCAAAUAGGGAAAAAGGGGAGUUCCCAUCGUGGUGCAGUGGAAACAAUCCAACUAGGAGCCAUGAGGCUGCGGGUUCAAUCCCUGGCCUUGCUCAGUGGGUUAAGGAUCUGGCGUCGCCGUGAGCUGUGGUGUAGGUUGCAGACAUGGCUUGGAUCUGGUGUUGCUGUGGCUCUGGUGUAGGCUGGCAGCUACAGGUCCGAUUAGACCCCUAGCCUGGGAACCUCCAUAUACGCAGGUGUGGCCCUAAAAGGACAAAAAGACAAAGAAUAAGUAAAUAAAUAAAAUAGGGAAAAAGGAAGUUUGCUUGUGGCUCAGCAGGUUAAGGAUCUGGCAUUUUCACAACUGUGGCACAGUUUCGCCCCCUGGUCUAGGAACUUCCACAUGCCUCUUGUGGGCCAAAAAAUUAAAAAAAAAAAAAAAAAAAAA
rnacentral:lncRNA from 1 species